CCUACGGGAGGCAGCAGUGAGGAAUAUUGGGCAAUGGACGCAAGUCUGAACCAGCAAUGCCGCGUGCAGGAAGACGGCUCUAUGAGUUGUAAACUGCUUUUGGACGGGGGUAAACGAGAAUACGCGUAUCUGUCUGAAAGUAGCGUACGAAGAAGGAGCGGCUAACGCCGUGCCAGCAGCGGCGGUAAUACGGAGGAUUAAAGCGUUCACCGGAUUUAUUGGGUUUAAAGGGUGGGUAGGCGGUCGGAUAAGUUAGAGGUGAAAUCCCGGGGCUCAACUUCGGAAUUGCUUGUGAUACUGUUCGGCUAGAGAGUAGUUGCGGUAGGCGGAAUGUAUGGUGUAGCGGUGAAAUGCUUAGAGAUCAUACAGAACACCGAUUGCGAAGGCAGCUUACCAAGCUACUUCUGACGUUGAGGCACGAAAGCGUGGGGAGCAAACAGGAUUAGAUACCCGUGUAGUC
rnacentral:rRNA from 1 species